UUGAAAGGGAAACGAUUGAAGUCAGUCGUACCGACGGAAAAUCAGCUCUUCGAGUGCGGACUUGUGGGCGUACGUGAGCUUUAACCGGCCUCGUCGUUCGCUACGUUUGUGCUUUUUGGGUGUACUUUUUCGUAUGGUAGGCCAACGUCAGUUUCGAUCACCAUAAAAUGAUCGGAGGAAUGUAGCUUCGAUCUUGUAUUGAAGUGUUAUAGCCUUUGGUAGAUGUGGUGACUGAGACUGAGGAUUGCAACGAAUACCCUUUGGGCUAUCCGUCUGACCUCUGAAAGUUGCUUAGGUGCCGAAAGCUUGCUUACGGUCAUCUAUGACGACGGUCAAAAGGUUAGAACGUGAUUAUAUUCGUUAAGGAUGUUGACGUA
rnacentral:rRNA from 1 species